rnacentral:misc_RNA from 1 species
GUAGGUGAACCUGCGGAAGGAUCAUUACGUAUUUUAGGCCGGUCUGACCGGUUCUAUUUAACCCUGUUUUUUGCGUACUCAUUGUUUCCUUGGUAGGCUUGCCUACCAGUAGGACAUUUUAAACUCUUAUAUUAGCAAUCAGCGUCAAAAUAUAAAACAAUUGUAACAACUUUCAACAACGGAUCUCUUGGUUCUGGCAUCGAUGAAGAACGCAGCAUCUGACUGACUUCAGGUUGCGGAAUCUCGUAUG